rnacentral:rRNA from 3 species
GACCUCAAAUCAGGUAGGACUACCCGCUGAACUUA